AUGAGUUCUAUACCACUUCAUACUUCACUGAAAAAACGACUAGCACCGCGUCCGGCAGCGACAGCCCCACACUACUCGGCCCUCAUUCUGCACGAUGAUGAGGUGACCGUUACCGAGGAUAAGAUCAAUGCCCUCAUUAAAGCAGCCGGUGUGAAUGUUGAACCUUUUUGGCCUGGCUUGUUUGCAAAGGCCCUGGCCAAUGUCAACAUUGGGAGCCUCAUCUGCAACGUAGGGGCUGGUGGACCUGCUCCAGCAGCUGGUGCUGCACCAGCAGGAGGUCCUGCCCCCUCCACUGCUGCUGCUCCAGCUGAGGAGAAGAAAGUGGAAGCAAAGAAAGAAGAAUCCGAGGAGUCUGAUGAUGACACGGGCUUUGGUCUUUUUGACUAAAUCUCUUUUAUAAUGUGUUCAAUAAAAAGCUGAACUUUAAAAAAAAAAAAAAAA